GUGAAGGUGGCUCAGUGGUAGAGUGCUUGCCUUGCAUAUAUGAGGCCCUGGGUUCGAUUCCUCAGCAUCACA
rfam:Dipodomys ordii contig_66270, whole genome shotgun sequence.